rnacentral:rRNA from 1 species
GCGCUUUCCUCCUCCAUGGCCUCCACCUUCGCAUCAUCAUCUAGCAGCAGCUCUAUUCCUCUCGGACCGCCCCCACAGGAGAAGCUAACAAGGGGAAACUUCCUCUUAUGGAAGGCCGUCGUGCUCCCGCAAAUCCAAGGCGCACAGAUGGAGCACCACCUUGACGGGAAGAGCCAGGAACCACCGGCCACCCUCACCAUCACCAAAGAUGGAAAAGACGAACAGGUCGUCAACUUCGCCCGAACCCUCUGGUACGCGCAGCAGCAGCAACUCCAGGGGUAUCUGAUGGGAUCUCUGUCCCGUGAGAUCCUUGCUCAAGUUGCCACCCUUCAGACGCCAGCAGAGGUCUGGAGCGCCAUCAACGCUAUGUUCGCCGCCCAGAGCCAGAUUCAGGCCAUCAACACCCACAUCGAGCUCACGAACUUGAAGAAAGGUAAC